GCGUGGGUGGCGCGGCCGAGGGCCGCGUGUGGGUAUGUGUCACUCAGGUCCACGCUCAUGCACACACUGACACGCCCGCACUGCAG
rnacentral:pre_miRNA from 1 species